UAGUUUGGACGUGUGAAAAGUGUUCACGUAGUGUUGGACGUGUCAAAAGUGUUCACACUACGUGAACACUUUUCACACGUCCAACA
rnacentral:pre_miRNA from 1 species